rnacentral:rRNA from 1 species
CCUACGGGAGGCAGCAGUGAGGAAUAUUGGUCAAUGGGCGAGAGCCUGCACCAGCCAAGUCGCGUGAAGGAUGACGGCCUUCGGGUUGUAAACUGCUUUUAUAAGCGAGAAAUAUGAUGGUAACUUAUGAAUAAGGAUCGGCUAACGACGUGCCAGCAGCCGCGGUCAUACGUAGGAUCCGAGCAUUAUCCGGAGUGACUGGGUGUAAAGAGUUGCGUAGGUGGCAUAAUAAGUAGCUAGUGAAAUCUGGUGGCUCAAACAUUCAGACUAUUAGCGAAACUGUUAAGCUAGAGACCGUUAGGGGUAACUGGAAUUUCUGGUGUAGGAGUGAAAUCCGUAGAUAUUAGGAGGAACACCAAUAGCGUAGGCAGGUUACUGGGACGGUUCUGACGCUGAGGCACGAAAGCGUAGGGAGCAAACGGGAUUAGAUACCCCUGUAGUC